UUUCGAAUCAUUCACAAUGGGCGAAAGCCUGAUGGUGCGACGCCGCGUGAGGGAUGAAGGUCUUCGGAUUGUAAACCUCUGUCACCGGGGAAGAAACGCUUCAAGUUAACAGCUUGAAGCCUGACUUAACCCGGAGAGGAAGCAGUGGCUAACUCUGUGCCAGCAGCCGCGGUAAUACAGAGACUGCGAGCGUUAUUCGGAUUCACUGGGCGUAAAGGGUGCGCAGGCGGCCAAGUGUGUGAGGCGUGAAAGCCCGGGGCUUAACCCCGGAAUUGCACCUCAAACUACAUGGCUAGAGUAUUGGAGAGGGUAACGGAAUUCACGGUGUAGCAGUGAAAUGCGUAGAUAUCGUGAGGAACACCAGAGGCGAAGGCGGUUACCUGGACAAUUACUGACGCUCAGGCACGAAAGCGUGGGGAGCAAAAGGGAUUAGAUACCCCCGUAGUCC
rnacentral:rRNA from 1 species